AGGUGCGAUCAUAACAGCAGUAAUGCACCGGAUCCCAUCAAAACUCCGCAGUUAAGUGUGCUUGGGUGAGAGUAUUACUAGGAUGGGUGACAUCCUAGGAAGUCCUCAUGUUAGCCCCCU
rnacentral:rRNA from 1 species